AUUGAACGCUGGCGGCAGGCCUAACACAUGCAAGUCGAGCGAGUGGCGGACGGGUGAGUAAUGUCUGGAAAACUGCCUGAUGGAGGGGGAUAACUACUGGAAACGGUCGCUAAUACCGCAUACCAUCAGAUGUGCCCAGAUGGGAUUAGCUAGUCGGUGGGGUAAUGGCUCACCUAGGCGACGAUCCCUAGCUGGUCUUAGAGGAUGACCAGCCACACGGGAACUGAGACACGGUCCAGACUCCUACGGGAGGCAGCAGUGGGGAAUAUUGCACAAUGGGCGCAAGCCUGAUGCAGCCAUGCCGCGUGUGUGAAGAAGGCCUUCGGGUUGUAAAGCACUUUCAGCGGGGAGGCGUUACUCGCAGAAGAAGCACCGGCUAACUCCGUGCCAGCAGCCGCGGUAAUUC
rnacentral:rRNA from 1 species